ensembl:lncRNA
ACAAGACCUAAGCGACAAAGUUUGAAUGAAGUUUCUAAGUUAAGCGGUUCAAGCUGAAUUAAGCGCAGAAGUUUGGUACAAAGAAUAAGAAGAAGAACUAGAAAAUGCAUUUCCUGAAGGAAAUACCAGUGCAUGAAAUGCAAAAGUUAAGAAAGGAAGAAGAAAAGAAAGAAGAGUGAAAGAAGGAAAUAAGAAAGGAAAGAAGAGUAAAGAAAGGAAAGAAGAAAGGAAAGAAGAGUCGAAGAAGGAAAGAAGAAGGGAAGAAGGAAAGAAGAAAAGAAAGAAGAGUGAAGAAAGGAAAGAAGAAGGAAAGAGUAAAAAAAAGAAAAGUAUAAGAAGGAAAGAAGAAAGGAAAGAAGAGUGAAGAAAGAAAAGAAGAGUGGAAGAAGGAAAGAAGAAAAAAAAAGAAAAGUGAAAGAAGGAAAGAAGAGUGGAAGAAGAGUGGAAGAAGGAAAGAAGAAGGAAAGAAGAAAAGAAAGAAGAGUGAAGAAAGAAAAGAAGAGUGGAAGAAGGAAAGAAGAAAAAAAAAGAAAAGUGAAAGAAGGAAAGAAGAGUGAAAGAAGGAAAAAAGAGUGGAAGAAGGAAAGAAGAAAAGAAAGAAGAGUGAAAGAAGGAAAGAAGAGUGGAAGAAGGAAAGAAGAAAAGAAAGAAGAGAGAAAGAAGGAAAGAAGAGUGGAAGAAGGAAAGAAGAAAGGAAAGAAGAGUGGAAGAAGGAAAGAAGAGUGAAGAAAGAAAAGAAGAGUAGAAGAAGGAAAGAAGAGUGGAAGAAGGAAAGAAGAAAGGAAAGAAGAGUGGAAGAAGGAAAGAAUAAAGAAAAGAAGAGUGAAGAAAGGAAAGAAGAAAAGAAAGAAGAGUGAAAGAAGAAAGGAAAGAAGAGUGGAAGAAGGAAAGAAGAGUGAAGAAAGAAAAGAAGAGUGGAAGAAGGAAAGAAGAAAGAAAAGAAGAGUGGAAGAAGGAAAGAAUAAAGAAAAGAAGAGUGAAGAAAGGAAAGAAGAGUGGAAGAAGAAAAGAAAGAAGGAAAGAAGAAAGGAAAGAAGAGUAAA